rnacentral:rRNA from 1 species
AUUGAACGCUGGCGGCAUGCCUUACACAUGCAAGUCGAACGGUAACAGGUUAAGCUGACGAGUGGCGAACGGGUGAGUAAUGUAUCGGAACGUGCCCAGUUGUGGGGGAUAACUGCUCGAAAGAGCAGCUAAUACCGCAUACGACCUGAGGGUGAAAGCGGGGGAUCGCAAGACCUCGCGCAAUUGGAGCGGCCGAUAUCAGAUUAGGGAGUUGGUGGGGUAAAGGCUCACCAAGCAGACGAUCUGUAGCUGGCCUGAGAGGACGACCAGCCACACUGGGACUAAGACACGGCCCCGACUCCUACGGGAGGCAGCAGUGGGGAAUUUUGGACAAUGGCCGCAAGCCUGAUCCAGCCAUGCCGCGUGCGGGAAGAAGGCCUUCGGGUUGUAAACCGCUUUUGUCAGGGAAGAAACGCUCUGGGUUAAUACCCUGGGGUAAUGACGGUACCUGAAGAAUAAGCACCGGCUAACUACGUGCCAGCAGCCGCCGUAA